AGCUGCUGCUCUGCCCGGUGUGUUCCAUACAGACAUUUAAGGGGGAUUUUUGCGUCGGUACCCAACGCUGAGAGACACUGACCAAGCAUCAGCAUUUUACGAGUUGGGAGUAAGAACGGGUUGCCCAGACUGAACAGAU